rnacentral:rRNA from 1 species
UCCGUAGGCGGUGCGGUAAGUUGGGAGUGAAAUCUCUGGGCUUAACCCAGAGGCUGCUUCCAAAACUACCGUGCUCGAGUGCGAGAGAGGCAAGUGGAAUUGCGGGUGUAGCGGUGAAAUGCGUAGAUAUCCGCAGGAACAUCCGAGGCGAAAGCGGCUUGCUGGAUCGCAACUGACGCUGAGGGACGAAAGCUAGGGGAGCAAACAGGAUUAGAUACCCUGGUAGUCCUAGCCCUAAACCAUCAGGACUUGGGGUUUGCCCUGUACGGGGCAAGUCCCGUAGCUAACGCGUUAAGUCCUGCGCCUGGGGAGUACGGUCGCAAGACUGAA